UCAGACUUUAAACACUGCGUCAAUACUUCGCUUGAAACUUUCCUCUGACUGGGCUGUGAUACAUGAUUCGGGUAGGCGGUUCCAGCUAUUAACUACACGGGUAGAGAGAGUGGCGUCACCAUGGAUGCGUAACCUCCUCGGUCUUCACCAAGUUCGCCUCGGAGAAUGCGCCGGGUAUAUAUCAGAUCUCCUCGGUGACGACGGUAGGCCAGAGAGAAGAGAUUCAGCUGUUCCAGUCGAUCUUCGUAGGAAAGCUGGUGAAGUUUUGCAACUGUUUUCGUACCGCGACGUUGAACUCGCUCCAGCAUAUCGGAUUCGUACUUGGUCAAUGGGAAUACUGCAGGCAGUCCGUACUCAAGAAUGGGACGCACGUGAGAGAUAAACAGGGGUCUGAAAAUCGCAGGAGUCAUACGGGCAAAAGACCGUCUGAUGGAUCCAAACAUCCUGGUGGCAGCGGUGACCUUCUUCGUGGUGUCAAGACUAGUCUUUAGGUCUGACGACACUAUGACACCAAGGUCCUUCUCACUUGUGGUGUUUUUAAGGAGAUAUCCUCCAAUAUGGUACGCCCCGAGUGGAUUCUGAGUUCCCAUGGAGAGCACUGAACAUUUGGCAUGGUUUAUUGGAAGCAGCCAUUUUUCCGUCCAACUUUGGAGCCUAUCUAACACGUCUUGGAAACGGUCAGCAUCCUCGACGCUAGUAACUUCAGCCCAAAGUUUUAAAUCAUCCGCGUACAGUAAACACUCAAUGUUCAGUUCUUUCGGGAGAUCGUUGACAUAGAGCUUGAAGAGUUCGGGUCCAAGGACCGAUCCUUGUGGCACUCCACUAGACAUAAGCACAGGCGCUGAGUAUGCGUCGUUGACUUUCACUCGCAUAUAACGUCCUUCCAGAAAGUCAGCAAUCCAGGAUAAGAUCUU